GCUUACGGCCAUACCACCCUGAGAACGCCCGAUCUCGGAAGCUAAGCAGGGUCGGGCCUGGUUAGUACUUGGAUGGGAGACAGCCUGGGAAUACCAGGUGCUGGAAGCU
rnacentral:rRNA from 1 species